UGCCUCUAGUGCAGGGAUGUCCAAACUCCGGCCCUCCAGAUGUUGCUGAACUACAACUCCCAUGAUUCUCUAGCUAUGUAUUCCAUUAAAAAAAUCAUGGGUGUUGUAGUUCAGCAACAUCUGGAGGGCCGGAGUUUGGACAUCCCUGCUUUAGUGGCU